CAACUUUUGCAGAUUAUUUUCAGUGAGGACCUUUUUCACAUGUCCUUUUGGAGGGGAUGGGGAUGGAAUCGUGUAUGGUUUAGAUGAUCAUCUUUAAUUGCUCGACUUAUCAUUUUUAAACUGGAAACAAUUGGGAAAUUGUAGCUGUUUCACAUUUUCUUUCA